rnacentral:ncRNA from 1 species
UACCUGGUUGAUCCUGCCAGUAGUCAUAUGCUUGUCUCAAAGAUUAAGCCAUGCAAGUCUAAGUACGAGCUCUCGUACAGUGAAACUGCGAAUGGCUCAUUAAAUCAGUUAUGGUUCAUUUGAUCGUACAGUUUACUUGGAUAACUGUGGUAAUUCUAGAGCUAAUACAUGCGAGAAGCGCCGACCUCGCGGGAGGCGUGCAUUUAUCAGACCAAAAACCGGCCGCGUCUUCGGGCGCGUUCGCCUUGGUGACUCUGGAUAACUUUGCGGAUCGCACGGUCUAGCACCGGCGACGGAUCAUUCAAGUGUCUGCCCUAUCAACUUUCGUCGGUACGGUAUUUGCCUACCGAGGUUCUUACGGGUGACGGGGAAUCAGGGUUCGAUUCCGGAGAGGGAGCCUGAGAAACGGCUACCACAUCCAAGGAAGGCAGCAGGCGCGCAAAUUACCCAUUCCCGACGCGGGGAGGUAGUGACGAAAAAUAACAAUGCAGGGGACUCGUUCGAGGCCCUGUAAUUGGAAUGAGGACACU